UACGUAGGGGUGCGAGCGUUGUCCGGAAUUACUGGGCGUAAAGAGCUCGUAGGUGGUUUGUCGCGUUGUCCGUGAAAACUCACAACUCAAUUGUGGGCGUGCGGGCGAUACGGGCAGACUGGAGUACUGCAGGGGAGACUGGAAUUCCUGGUGUAGCGGUGGAAUGCGCAGAUAUCAGGAGGAACACCGGUGGCGAAGGCGGGUCUCUGGGCAGUAACUGACGCUGAGGAGCGAAAAGCGUGGGGGAGCGAACAGG
rnacentral:rRNA from 1 species